rnacentral:rRNA from 1 species
UAUCUCUGUAGAGUCUGCAUAUCAAUAAGCGGAGGAAAAGAAACUAACAAGGAUUCCCUUAGUAACGGCGAGUGAAGCGGGAAGAGCUCAAAUUUGAAAUCUUCAAGGUUUUACCUUGACGAAUUGUAGUUUAAAGAAGUGUUUUCUGUUGAAGUUUCGGUAAAAGUUUUUGGAAUAGGACAUCAGUAGAGGGUGAGAAUCCCGUAUUUGACCGUUAUUUUCAGCUGUGUGAUACACUUUCAAAGAGUCGGAUUGUUUGGGAAUGCAGUCCAAAAUGGGUGGUAAAUUUCAUCUAAAGCUAAAUAUUGGCGAGAGACCGAUAGCGAACAAGUACCGUGAGGGAAAGAUGAAAAGAACUUUGAAAAGAGAGUUAAACAGUACGUGAAAUUGUCAAAAGGGAAGCGUUUGACACCAGUGUUGUUUUCUCGAAAAUCAAUUAAAAAUGGCUUGAUUUUGUGUUGUAUUGACCAUUAAAAGCUUUCUUCACUUUUUUCAUGUCUUUUUUAAUGCACUUUUCGUUUAACAAGUCAACAUCAGUUUCUUUUGUUGUAAAAAGGUCAUUGGAAGGUGGCUUUCUUUUCGGAGAAAGUGUUUAUAGCCUUUGACUUCUGCAAUCGGAGAGACUGAGGUCUGCAGCGUAGAUCCUUCGGGAUUAGAUUCAGUUAGAUGCUAAGUUACUACCGUUUUAUAGACAACUUGUUGACUAUAAUUCGAUCCUGUAGCUUACUCGCUUAUGGUAUUUUACCUACGCUUAGGAUGUUGAUAUGCAUGACUGAUAU